GACGAACGCUGGCGGCGUGCUUAACACAUGCAAGUCGAACGGAAAGGCCUCUUUCGGGGGGUACUCGAGUGGCGAACGGGUGAGUAACACGUGAGUAACCUGCCCUUGACUUUGGGAUAACUUCAGGAAACUGGGGCUAAUACCGGAUAGGAGCUCCUGCUGCAUGGUGGGGGUUGGAAAGUUUCGGCGGUUGGGGAUGGACUCGUGGCUUAUCAGCUUGUUGGUGGGGUAGUGGCUUACCAAGGCUUUGACGGGUAGCCGGCCUGAGAGGGUGACCGGCCACAUUGGGACUGAGAUACGGCCCAGACUCCUACGGGAGGCAGCAGUGGGGAAUAUUGCACAAUGGGUGGAAGCCUGAUGCAGCAACGCCGUGUGCGGGAUGACGGCCUUCGGGUUGUAAACCGCUUUCGCUCAUGACGAAGCUUUGUGUGACGGUAGUGGGUAAAGAAGCACCGGCUAACUACGU
rnacentral:rRNA from 1 species